ensembl:lncRNA
UGGGAAGCGAGAGCCUCCCCGGUAUAAACUGCCAGCUCUAAGCAGCCCUGACAGCUCUGCUCCUUCCCAAACCUGGCAGCCGUUCAAAGUGCUCUUUCAUUCGGGAUGCUGGAAGCCUGCCAUGUGCAAUGCAGAUUUCGCUGUGCCUGUGCGCAGAAGGAACUGAUAAAUGCCGUUGCGGUUGCCAUGGGGACGGGAGGCUAUCAGAAUGGCCUUGUGAUCCGCAGCCUCCUCGCGGCGCGGCAGGCUCUCGCUCCGCGCUCCCGCCCCGCCUCCCGCGAGUCGGUGAGAUGGUGAAAUCAAUGUUCUGGAAAAAAAGGUUAACCCUCCCGGCUCUGGUGCCGAGCUUCGUGAGCCUCUGAGCACUUCCCUGGCCUUCAGUGCAACCGGCAGCCCCACGGGCCUCCUUAACCAUACCCUGGAGCUUUUCAGCAAGUCCAAGUCUUUUGAGUCAUCACAACCCGGAUGUAAACACACCAGUCCUGCCUUCUGCACAGUUGCUACCAUGGAUGCUAGGGAAAAGGGACGGAAUCUCAAGAGCCAGGAAAUGAAGAGGCCAGGAUAAAACAGCGUGGAGCUCAGCAGCUGCUGCCGGCUGUUCUCGAACCAGAUAGUGAGUUAAAGGACCCUUGUUGGUCUCUGAGGUCUCCCUCUCUGCACCUGAAUCCUCCCAUCUUUGGAAGACAAGGGAAGUUCCUAGGAGACAUUCGCCCCACCGUCUGUCUCGAAGCUGCUGCUGUAACCUUCCUGCAGUAGUCAACAUCAGCUGGCAAAUCCCUAAAUUAAGGUUCUGUUUACUCUGUUGUUCCAAAGGCUUGUUUUGAGCAAGAGGCUGUGCCUUAAUUAAAACGAUGAGUGCUCAUGAGUAAGUGAAAAUAUUUUUU